UACAAUACCAUUACUACGGUCGUUUCUCUCUCUCUCUCUCUAUAUCAUCCACCGCCACACACAAACCCACUUUUUCUCCCUAAAUGCAAAAUUCUAAUGUAGAGAGCAGCAACUCCGUCGAUUCCGAUGCCCCGCUCUCCGUCAACAGCCCAUUCCCCGCCGGCGAAGUCGACGUAUCUUUCAUCUGAGUUCUAGGGUUUUUCAUUCGGUACAUCAAUUGGGAACACUCUUUUCAAUCGAAUUCUGAAGACAAAGAAAGCAUAGUUAUAGAAACUUAAUAUCCUGAAGUAUAGAUAAGGUGCUCUAUUUCCGGCUUUGUUUGUGAUCGGAGGUAAACAUACGCAAAGGAGACCCUUGUGCGGGAGAGUAGUAUAUCUAGGGUUUUGAUAGAAUCAAGGAAUGGCUCCAGGUCGUAAACGUGGAGCUAAAGGAGUGAAGUCGAUGAGCGAGUUGAGUCUGGGUGAUCUGGUCCUUGCUAAGGUUAAAGGCUUCCCUGCUUGGCCUGCUAAGAUUAGCAAACCAGAAGAUUGGGCUCGAGCUCCUGAUCCCAAAAAGUAUUUUGUCCAGUUCUUUGGUACACAGGAAAUAGCAUUUGUCGCCCCAGCAGAUAUUACGGCAUUUACCAUCGAUGUUAAAAAUAAAGUGUCAGCUCGAUGUCAGGGCAAAACAGUAAAACAUUUUGCCCAAGCAGUGAGGCAAAUCUGUGAAGAAUUUGAAGGGUUACAGCAGAAAGAUUCCAGUGUUUCAGGAGAUGAGGCUUAUAAAACAGCUCCAGGCUGUGGAAUAGCUUCUGUUGAAAGGGUGUCUGCUGCUACCGAGUUGGACCAAAUGGACGGGGAUAAGAAGUCUAAGCAAGAAACAGAUAUCAAAAGCUUUGUAGAGGGAUCUGGGCUAGAGCGCUGCUCGAUGAUUAAAGAUGACACUGCUGAUAUAGUUUCACAUGAUUCAGAGGGUAAUUUGCCUCCAUCAAUUUCAUCUUUAAAGGUGGGGUCGAUUCACAGUGGGAUUUCUAAUUCAGGAAAGGAGUUGGCUUCAUUGCCUAAUCCAGAAAGCACAAGUGAGGACAACAGAGAUCCCGAGGAGCGUGAUAAGCAAUUGAUCCACAAGGAGAACUUGAGAACUGCUGAGAGGAGUCAUUUUCCUGAUGCAGAUUUUCCUCCUCCUACAUCAUCUAAUGACGUGAAGCAGCUUGAUGGUGGUCGGAAGCAGCUGACAAAUGGACACAAAGCAAAGCUGGCGAAGAAGAAAGCUGGGGGUGGACAUGAAAUGCAAAGAAUUAGUGAUACUACCAGUGAUCCAACUGUUAAAAAAGCAAGUGCCAAAAAAUUAGUGCCAGAGGUUAAGUCAGGUACCGAUGGUAGGAAAAAGAUAAAAAGAGAGGACGAUAGAAAACCUGAGACGGUGGAUGCUGCUCUCGGCCAUAUUGAGGAGAACAAAUUUCAGUUGUCUAGCAAGAAAUUGAAAGUUGAACCUGGACAGAUGUUGCGACGCAAUGAAAUAGCAGAUCCUUCUAAGAAGAUCAAAUGUGCUGAUGGGGCAAUGGAUGCUGUUAUGGCGAGCAAAAUUUAUGAUGAGGCUAAAGUGGUGAAAUCAGAGGUUAAAAAAUCAAUACCACUGGGAAAAGCCGAGGAUCACACUUCGCUGAAAUUGCAUGAAGGUGCUAUUGGUUCAAAUAAUUGCGGUGAAGAAGAUAUUCUCCCACCAUCAAAGCGCCAUCGACGGGCAAUGGAGGCUAUGUCUAGCUCCUCUCCUGUUCCUCAACUUCCUACUAAGCGGAGAGCUGUCCGUUUGUGUGUGGAUAAUGAAAAUGAAGAGCCCAAAACUCCAAUUCAUGGAGGAUCUAUUAAGAGGGAUGCUAUUUCUCGCGUCCCCAAUUCGGUGAAGAAGCCUGACCUAUCUAUUGGAACAGCUAGUAAUGACCAACCGAGUGUGAAAGACUCGGGCACGGUUGAUGAUAGCUCUAUCAAGGAGCAUGCACCAUCUGUCAGACUACACAAAGAACUCUCUGGGCGUGUUUCUCAGAAAAAUGUGGAGAAGAAGCGUAUACCUACUGAUACAAGUGUUUCAUGUAGUCCUGGGAAAUUUGGAACUCCAAAAACAACUUCUAGGGAAGGUCAAACUGAUACUAUAUCGCCCAAAAAGUCCCCUGGGUUCACUGUCAAACCAGUCUCAGAGCCACAAAAAGGUGCUAAACUACCUGGUAAACCUCAGGGUGAUCAUAAAAAAUGGGUAGCUGAAUCUGAUACUGGCAAUAUUAUUGCUGCUGAUAACUUAAAUCCUCCUCGUGAUCAACCUAUUAAUGAAAGAAGUAAGAUAGUUUCUACCAAUGAAAGGAAAAAAACAACCCCAAAGUCUAGUUCCUCGAUGACUGAACCCACUCAUGUGCCUGGUAAUCCUGUUGAAAGCAUGUCUACACGGUUUGAAAGGCUUGAAGCUUUGAGAGAUGAGAAGCUUAAUGCUUUGAUAGAUUCCAAAGUUCUAGACCAGGAUAUGUCCAUGAAGCAUCUUAUAGCAGCUGCCCAGGCUAAAAGGCGGCAAGCUCACUUGCAGAGCAUUCAUGGUAAUACCCUUGCUGCUGUGGCCCCCUAUGCUGAACCACAGGGAGGGAGCCCCCAUCCAGCGCUUGGUUCUCAACCAUUAAGCUCUGGCAUGCUGCAUCCUGAAACACAAGUUCUAUUUUCUCGCUCAUCUCCUUCGUCUGAGAUUCGGCAGUUUUCAUCGAUAAAUCCACCUGAGCCUGAAGAAAAUGAGGAGAAGAGAGUAAUUUCAGGCCUGGGGGCCUCUGGGGGCUCACUCAGUGGUGGCACUGAGGCAGCUGUUGCUCGUGAUGCUUUUGAAGGAAUGAUAGAAACAUUAUCACGGACCAAAGAGAGUAUCGGACGUGCAACCCGUCUAGCAAUUGAUUGUGCAAAGUAUGGCAUUGCUAAUGAGGUCGUUGAACUUCUUACCCGGAAGUUGGAAAAUGAACCUAGCUUUCAUCGCAGGGUGGACCUGUUUUUUUUGGUGGAUUCUAUAACUCAGUGCUCUCAUAGUCAUAAAGGCAUUGCAGGAGCAUCAUAUAUUCCUGCUGUUCAAGCGGCAUUACCUCGUCUUUUGGGAGCUGCUGCUCCACCAGGAGUGGGUGCCCGGGAAAACCGUCGUCAAUGUCUCAAGGUAUUGCGAUUAUGGCUUGAGAGGAAAAUAUAUCCUGAUUCUCUUCUUCGCCGUCAUAUGGAUGAUAUUGGUACGUCGAAUGAUGAUUCGUCUGGUGGUUUGUCCUUUAGACGACCAUCUCGAGCUGAGCGUGCUAUUGAUGAUCCUAUUAGAGAGAUGGAAGGCAUGCUUGUUGAUGAGUACGGCAGCAAUGCUACAUUUCAGUUGCCUGGAUUUUUAUCUUCUCACGUUUUUGAUGAGGAGGAGGAAGAAGAAGAUGUUCUUCGUAAUUUGCAAAACGAAGCUGCUGAGGAAUUAGCAAUAGAGCAUACACCUGCAACAGGUGAUAAUGCUGAAAGAUAUAUGGUCACUCCUAGUGACAGGCGUCAUUGUAUCUUGGAGGAUGUGGAUGGCGAGCUUGAAAUGGAAGAUGUUUCUGGUCACCCAAAAGAUGAAAGACCUUUGUUUGCAGAUGAUGUGAACCAGUCUGGCUCAGAUCGAACCCUGGAAUCAGCUUUAGAUAAUUUAUCUGAUUUGCCGCCUCUACCUAUGGGAUCCCCACCAUUACCUCCUUGUUCUCCUCCACCCACCCCACCUUUGCCUUCCUCUCCCCCUCCAUCACCGGCGCCACCUCCACCUCCAUUAUCUCCAUUGCCACCUCCACCCCCACCACCACCCCCACUUCCUCCAUCACAACCCCCACUACCUCCAUCUCAGCCACAUCCAUUCCCUCCACUGCCCGCUGGACCACCUCCUCUCAUGUUCCCUCAACCUUCUUUCCCACUCCAACAUGAAGUAGGGACACAACACUUGCACACUCUCACUCCAUCAGUACCAUCGCCAUCACCUGUAGUGGCAUAUACGCAACCUCCUCUUCCAAACGAAGUUAGUAACAUACCCAGUGGUCAUCGGCUACCACAGGUAGCUGGAAACAUGCCUCAUGGUCCUCGUAUCAAUGCUUCUAAUAGGAAUGAGGUAUUCCCAUUGCAACCACCUUCUUUUACACCAGCAGGAGUUAGUAAUUUGAGGGAAUCUUCUGGAUAUAGUUCACGGCCUUUGGAAUAUGGUUAUAACGAUGCAUAUAUAAACCCACCAGUUUCUCAGUCCACGCAGAAAUUUCAACCUGGUAAUGUGCCUUUUACCCCAAGGCCCAUGCAUCUUAACCCUCCACAUCAAAUCCCCUCCAAUAGUUUUUCGUAUCCAAGAGCCCCAGUGCAGCAACAUCCACAACAAGCAUAUCCUACACCGUGCUCAUUACCAGAGCGCUCUGAUGGAUCGAGGCGUUAUAUUGGUGAUGAACAGUGGAGGGUUCAACCCAAUGAGUUCAAUGGUGACCACCAGCGCAGUAUGUGGAUUGGUGCAGGAAGAUCAUGCCCUGGUCCAACAAUUGCUCAAGAAGGUUAUUUCAGACCGCCUGAUAGACCACCUGUGAGUAAUGUUGGAUUCCAGCCUUCUGGGUCAAAUGCUUUCCCUACUGGUCCUCCAAUUUCAGGUCAUGGAAUGCCUUGCCGACCGGACGUAACUGUCCUCAACUGGAGGCCAGCAUGAGGGCCAUUGACAGUUGGUUUUGAUCAUUGUAUCUAAUGGUGGCUCAAGUAGGAUACAGGACUGACAUCUGGAAAAAAGACAGUAAUUAGAGCAAUUGCUGUAAAGUUGGGUGACCCUUGGCAGGAUUUUGUACUAUUGUAAUUUUCCUGACAAAUGCAUUUCACAGACACAUACUUAACAAAGUGUAUUACGGAAGAUAGCUAGUCAGCAUGCAACAUUGUAGCCCUUUAUUGGUCAGCAGUACAAUAAUAUCUAAUUGAUCCUGGCAGAUUGUUCUGCUGCAAAAUUCUGAGGAUGUUAUUCAUUAAGACGGUGGUAACUUUUGGGUUAUUUGUUGAAUUUGGAGUGCUCCGACUCAUUCUCAGUGCUGUUGAGGUGCCUAAACAUUUAAUCAUAAGCUGACAGUCUGAUGAUCUGUGCUUAUCUUGAAAGAACAUGAAACAUGGAUUUUACUAUUAAAGAUCAUGAAUUCUGAUGAAGAUGAAGGACCCCAAGAGAGUUGAGAAAGGGAGAAGUUAAGGUUGGUGUGGAUGGUGGGAAAGCAAAUUGGAGAGUAUUUCAUCUGUCUUGACCUACUUAAAAAACGAAAAGAUUUGUUGGGCUAGAAAAUUUACUGUUUCGUGGUGGUUGUUGAAGAUUAGCUUCUUGAAAGCUUUACCAGAGGUUUCCUGGAAAUUAAUCUUUCGGUGCUGAGCAAGGGCAGAAAAAAGAAAAAUGAAAUUGUAGGAAAUUGUUUUGCUGCAUGUGUUUUCAAUUUUGUGAUAACAUGUGAAGUGGAAGAACAUUGUAGCUGAGGUGAACAAUAUUCAAUGCUUGGACCCAGAUUAACAGAAAACAGUGUGCUCUGGAGUAAACAUCAAAUGUCGGUGCUUCUAUAAGUGGUAUGGACGUUUUCUACUUAUGUUCAAGUUGAAGCAAAUAAAUUAUGGGUAUUUUAUCUAACAAUGAUUAUGAUUUGAAUCUGUUGCCAUGAUAUUUUUGUGAAGGCAUUUUUAGUUUAAGUAA